rnacentral:rRNA from 1 species
UGCGGAGGGUGCAAGCGUUAAUCGGAAUUACUGGGCGUAAAGCGUGCGCAGGCGGUUUGUUAAGUCCGCUGUGAAAUCCCCGAGCUCAACUUGGGAAUUGCAGUGGAUACUGGCAAGCUGGAGUAUGGUAGAGGAAGGUGGAAUUCCCGGUGUAGCAGUGAAAUGCGUAGAGAUCGGGAGGAACACCAGUGGCGAAGGCGGCCUUCUGGACCAAUACUGACGCUCAUGCACGAAAGCGUGGGGAGCAAACAGG